AGUCAAAACAGCCUACACUCUUUAAGGU
rnacentral:sRNA from 1 species